rnacentral:rRNA from 1 species
CGAAGGGGCUAGCGUUGCUCGGAAUUACUGGGCGUAAAGGGAGCGUAGGCGGACAUUUAAGUCAGGGGUGAAAUCCCGGGGCUCAACCUCGGAAUUGCCUUUGAUACUGGGUGUCUUGAGUAUGAGAGAGGUGUGUGGAACUCCGAGUGUAGAGGUGAAAUUCGUAGAUAUUCGGAAGGACACCAGUGGCGAAGGCGACACACUGGCUCAUUACUGACGCUGAGGCUCGAAAGCGUGGGGAGCAAACAGGAUU